AUGGAUCAGCAAAACAGAGAGAGAUUGCCACUUCCUGGAGCACAUUUGCAAUGUUAUCAUAUUUGUCUAGAAAGGAUUCAGAGUAGAGCUAUGGCUCACCCACUUCAUUUGCAGUUAUUUCGUCACUGUAGGGAAGGAUAGGGGAGGAGCCACGACAAGGAAUUUACGUGCAGGAUGGUUGGCUGAAAGAAUUUACCAACACGGUGGUUGUCUAUCUUGGUACUAGACCACGUGCUUGUUAGCGGUGGCCAGGGCACCUCUUUGUAUUUGUGGCAUGGACAAGGCAUCCAGCAGAGCCUGCGGACCCAAGCGCUCGCUUCUUCUCCGUGGGUCUGAGUUGCACAGGGAAAGGACAGUGGCGUCCCUGAGAGACUUAACUGAGUACCGCAUCCCUACACAGCCUGGCUACAUAAUCUGUGAUCUCCACAGCCAGAUGCUCUCAACUCUGUAGCAUCCAGCUUUGCCACGACGUCUGAGGCUCCUCAAGGAAGAGGGGGCAGAAAGAGCAUAAGAGCCGAAGGUGGUGGAUGGCUACAAGCAACAGCACUCUUCAGUCCCAGAAGGAGGAAGCUUUAUACGUGAACACACAGAUGGUGGGACAGCAUACCCAGGCCUGUGCGAGCUCAAGCUAGACAAAGCCAAUGACCUUCCUCCAUCACUGGUAAGGUAAAGAAAGGAAGUGAUGAACAAAAGACAGCCUGGGGCUGUAGAGAGCGAUGGCUCACAGGAGCCGUGAAGAAGGAUGUAUGCCCUGUAGAAUGAUGGGCCUUGGAAGUUGCUGAUGGAAUGCUUUCUCCAGAUCCCGGACAGAACCAUCCUGCUGGAGGAUGCCCAGAUUCGAAGGGCUUCAAAGUCAAUGGAGUCCUGACCUGAAACACUUGGAGCCGUGAAUCUAGACAAGCGGGCUUAGAAUUCUAUGAUGUUUGAUUGCAGCACUCUUUCUCUUUGGAUCCCGGCUCUCCUGUUUCCCUAGCCGGUCUUCCAGGAGGUGGUGCUGGAAUCGUCUGAUCUGAUGCAUGCUACUGAAUCUUGUGUGUUUGUUAUAUCUCUCCCACCCCCAGAGACUUAACGCCAAUAGGAGAAGCAAGAGUCGCUUGCUUUAGGAGUAAAAUUUGAUUAAUGCCAGAACCUUAAACAGAGAGAGAGGAAGGGAGAGAGAAGAAUUGAGAAGAGGGAGGUUUUCAGACAUUUGGCCCUCGUGUUGAGUUGUUUUUAUUGGAUGGAGUGACACCCUGAUUAUUCCCCUCUGCCUGGAACAGAACAUGAUCCCACAUUUCUUUACAAUUAAAUUAAGGCUAAAGAAUGGCAAAGACGUUAUCUUUCAUAUGAUAUGUCUGAGAGACACUGGUUUUGGUCUACUGGAAGCCCUUGACUCGGUUGCUUUCUGAAAUGCCAAGUUUUCUGGGCAAAUCCCAUUAGGGGGUUUGUGUAGCUUCUGUCUUUUUGUUUCCAUCUGCUGGCUGCCACUGUUGGAGAUGACUCAAGGACUGUUCACGCCAGGCUUGGAAAUACUGAAAUGGGGAUAUCUGUCUGGUCAUUGUGGCCCUUAUCUGUUUAUCCUGCAAGCAAUGAUCAUAUCUAUAAUAAUUUCAUUAUAGGUGCUUGGCCAGUUGUCAAUUUUCUUCACUAAUCUGAAUUGUAGUGAUCUUGUUUUCUUAGCUUCCUCAACACGUAGAUGGGUAUUUUUUUUUUUUUUUUUACCAAGUCGGAAAAAUACUUGAACAUUUCUUUUGGGAUAGAUUCGUUUAUAGUCCGGGAUGUCUUUGAACUUGCAAUGUAACCAAAGCUGUCCUUGAACUUCUGAUCCUCCUGGUUGCACCUUCCAGAUACUAGGAUGGCCAAUGUGUGCAACCACAUCUGGCCUCUGUGCAUUUUAAAAAAACCAUUUUUCACAAUUCCUAUGCUGUGUUCUCCUUUCAAGAUGCCGUUUUGAUUUCCUCAGAGUUUUUCCACAAGUCAUUAAGGUUCUAUUUUUAUGUAUUGAAGUUUGCCUGCAUGUAUAUAAGCAUGCCACACGUAUGCAUUGCCCAUGGAGGCCAGAGGAGGCUGUUUGAGUCCCUGCAAGUUGCAGGUGGCUGGGAGCUACCAUGUGAGUGCUGAGAGCUGAGUCCUGGUCCUCUGCUGCAAGCGCAGUGCAUACCGCUAACUGCUGACCCAUCUGUCCAGCCCCCUGCCUGUUUAUUCUUAAUGGUCUUCUCUCAUUCCCUUAGUUCUCCAAUUUGGAUCUAACUCAUCUCUGUUAAAAUCUCUCUCUUCUCCCUCUCCCCCUCUUCUUUCUCUCUCCUCUCUUCCCCUCCUCUCCCCUCUUUCUUUCUCUUCUUUAUCCAGUCUUUUGUACAUUGCAACUCUCCAG